rnacentral:tRNA from 1 species
GCUCAUGUAGCUCAGGGGUAGAGCACACCCUUGGUAAGGGUGAGGUCGUCGGUUCAAUUCCGACCAUGAGCUCCA